GACGAACGCUGGCGGCGUGCUUAACACAUGCAAGUCGAACGGAAAGGCCCUGCUUUUGUGGGGUGCUCGAGUGGCGAACGGGUGAGUAACACGUGAGUAACCUGCCCUUGACUUUGGGAUAACUUCAGGAAACUGGGGCUAAUACCGGAUAGGAGCUCCUGCUGCAUGGUGGGGGUUGGAAAGUUUCGGCGGUUGGGGAUGGACUCGCGGCUUAUCAGCUUGUUGGUGGGGUAGUGGCUUACCAAGGCUUUGACGGGUAGCCGGCCUGGGAGGGUGAACGGCCACACUGGGACUGAGAUACGGCCCAGACUGCUACGGGAGGCAGCAGUGGGGAAUAUUGUACAAUGGGCGGAAGUCUGAUGCGGCAACGCCGCGUGCGGGAUGACGGCCUUGGUGUUGUAAACCGCUGUCGCCUGUGACGAAGCGUGAGUGACGGUAAUGGGUAAAGAAGCACCGGCUAACUACGUG
rnacentral:rRNA from 1 species